GAGUUUGAUCGUGGCUCAGAUUGAACGCUGGCGGCAGGCUUAACACAUGCAAGUCGAGCGGAGAUGAGGUGCUUGCACCUUAUCUCAGCGGCGGACGGGUGAGUAAUGCUUAGGAAUCUGCCUAUUAGUGGGGGACAACAUUCCGAAAGGAAUGCUAAUACCGCAUACGUCCUACGGGAGAAAGCAGGGGAUCUUCGGACCUUGCGCUAAUAGAUGAGCCUAAGUCGGAUUAGCUAGUUGGUGGGUAAAGGCCUACCAAGGCGACGAUCUGUAGCGGGUCUGAGAGGAUGAUCCGCCACACUGGGACUGAGACACGGCCCAGACUCCUACGGGAGGCAGCAGUGGGGAAUAUUGGACAAUGGGGGGAACCCUGAUCCAGCCAUGCCGCGUGUGUGAAGAAGGCCUUAUGGUUGUAAAGCACUUUAAGCGAGGAGGAGGCUACUGAGACUAAUACUCUUGGAUAGUGGACGUUACUCGCAGAAUAAGCACCGGCUAACUCUGUGCC
rnacentral:rRNA from 1 species